rnacentral:rRNA from 1 species
GAUGAACGCUGGCGGCGUGCCUAAUACAUGCAAGUCGAGCGAACGGACGAGAAGCUUGCUUCUCUGAUGUUAGCGGCGGACGGGUGAGUAACACGUGGAUAACCUACCUAUAAGACUGGGAUAACUUCGGGAAACCGGAGCUAAUACCGGAUAAUAUUUUGAACCGCAUGGUUCAAAAGUGAAAGACGGUCUUGCUGUCACUUAUAGAUGGAUCCGCGCUGCAUUAGCUAGUUGGUAAGGUAACGGCUUACCAAGGCAACGAUGCAUAGCCGACCUGAGAGGGUGAUCGGCCACACUGGAACUGAGACACGGUCCAUACUCCUACGGUAGGCAGCAGUAGGGAAUCUUCCGCAAUGGGCGAAAGCCUGACGGAGCAACGCCGCGUGAGUGAUGAAGGUCUUCGGAUCGUAAAACUCUGUUAUUAGGGAAGAACAUAUGUGUAAGUAACUGUGCACAUCUUGACGGUACCUAAUCAGAAAGCCACGGCUAACUACGUG